rnacentral:lncRNA from 1 species
GUGGGGUCCACGGGGGCCACCAAGGGGCCCGGGGACUGGGGGGGGUGACCAAGGGGACGUCGGGGACGCGGUGGCACCUGCUCGAGCGCCUCGGCCAGGUGGCGGUCCAGGCGCCCCUCGCGCUUGCGGAGCUUGGCGCUGUCCCACUGCAGCCCCUCCACCGUGGUGCCCAUCUCCAGCACCUUGGUCUCGGCCGACGUCGCCUUGUCCUGCAGCUCCGCCAGCUGGGGGGGGGGCGGGGACAGCGGUCACGUGACCCCCGGCGGGGUUGGUGACGUCAUCCCGUUGGGAGAUGACGUCAUCCCAUGGGGACAUCGAUGGUGUCACCCCGUGGGGACGCAACGUCAUCCCGUGGGGACGCCGGUGACGUCAUCCCGUUGGGAGAUGACGUCAUCCAUGGGGACGUUGGUGACGUCAUCCCAUGGGGAGAUGACAUCAUCCCAUGGGGACAUCGGUGACGUCAUCCCGUUGGGAGAUGACGUCAUCCACGGGGACACUGGUGACGUCAUCCCGUUGGGAGGUGACGUCAUCCCAUGGGGACAUCGAUGGUGUCACCCCGUGGGGACAUCGGUGACGUCAUCCCAAUGGGAGAUGGUGUCAUCCCAUAGGGGCAUUGGUGACGUCAUCCCGUUGGGAGAUGACGUCAUCCCGUGGGGACAUCAAUGGUGUCACCCCAUGGGGACGUUGGUGACGUCAUCCCAUUGGGAGGUGACGUCAUCCAUGGGGACGCCAGUGACGUCAUCCCGUUGGGAGAUGACAUCAUCCCAUGGGGACGUUGGUGACGUCAUCCCGUUGGGAGAUGACGUCAUCCCAUGGGGACAUCGAUGGUGUCACCCCGUGGGGACAUCGGUGACGUCAUCCCAAUGGGAGAUGACGUCAUCCAUGGGGACACUGGUGACGUCAUCCUGUUGGGAGAUGACAUCAUCCCAUGGGGACAUCGAUGGUGUCAUCCCAUAGGGGCAUUGGUGACGUCAUCCCGUUGGGAGAUGACGUCAUCCCAUGGGGACAUCCAUGGUGUCACCCCGUGGGGACGUUGGUGACGUCAUCCCAAUGGGAGAUGACGUCAUCCAUGGGGACACUGGUGAUGUCAUCCCGUUGGGAGAUGACGUCAUCCCAUUGGAAGAUGACAUCAUCCCAAUGGGAGAUGACAUCAUCCCAAUGGGAGAUGACAUCAUCCCAAUGGGAGAUGACAUCAUCCCAACGGGGACACCGAUGGUGUCAACCCAUGGGGACGCAACGUCAUCCCGUGGGGACGCUGGUGACGUCAUCCCAUGGGGAGAUGACAUCAUCCCGUGGGAACACUGGUGAUGUCAUCCCGUUGGGAGACGACGUCAUGCACGGGGACGCCGGUGACGUCAUCCCGUUGGGAGAUGACGUCAUCCCAUGGGGACGUCGAUGACGUCAUUCCAUUGGGAGGUGACAUCAUCCCAUGGGGACAUUGGUGACGUCACCCCGUUGGGAGGUGACGUCAUCCCCUUGGAGAUGACGUCAUCCACGGGGACGCUGGUGACGUCACCCCACCAGUUGCUCCCAAUCCCGUCCAGCUCCUCCCAGUUGUCCCCUACACCCCUCCCAGCUCCUCCCAGUUGCUCCCAGUUGUCCCCCACGCCCCCUCCGGCUCUUCCCAGUUGCUCCCAGUGUCUUCCGAGCGCCUCCCAGUCAUUCCCAGUUACCUAUUCGCUCCGCUG